rnacentral:rRNA from 1 species
AUUGAACGCUGGCGGAAUGCUUUACACAUGCAAGUCGAACGGUAGAGGGGCAACCCUUGAGAGUGGCGAACGGGUGAGUAAUGUAUCGGAACAUGCCCAGUCGUGGGGGAUAACGUAGCGAAAGUUACGCACAUACCGCAUACGACCUAUGGAUGAAAGCGGGGGAUCGCAAGACCUCGCGCGAUUGGAGUGGCCGAUAUCAGAUUAGGGAGUUGGUGGGGUAAAGGCCUACCAAGCCGACGAUCUGUAGCUGGUCCGAGAGGACGACCAGCCACACUGGGACUGAGACACGGCCCAGACGCCUACGGGAGGCAGCAGUGGUGAAUUUUGGACAAUGGGCGCAAGCCUGAUCCAGCCAUUCCGCGUGCAGGAAGAAGGCCUUCGGGUUGUAAACUGCUUUUGUACGGAACGAAACGCGCUGAGCUAAUACCUCGGCGUAAUGACGGUACCGUAAGAAUAAGCACCGGCUAACUACGUGCCAGCCGCCGCGGUAA